rnacentral:rRNA from 1 species
UUUGUCCUACGGGAGGCAGCAGUGGGGAAUAUUGCACAAUGGGGGGAACCCUGAUGCAGCAACGCCGCGUGAAGGAAGAAGUAAUUCGUUAUGUAAACUUCUAUCGACAGGGAAGAAAGAAAUGACGGUACCUGAAUAAGAAGCCCCGGCUAAUUACGUGCCAGCAGCCGCGGUAAUACGUAAGGGGCAAGCGUUAUCCGGUUUUACUGGGUGUAAAGGGGGAGUAGGCGGCGAUGCA